GUUGCGCCAAACACCCUCAUUUGCUGGUCAGUUUGUAGCUUAAAAAAAAAAAAUCAAAAAAAAAAUCGGAGGUAACAUGGUAAGGAUUUUUCAAGAUUUAUCACGGAGCAGUUAACAUGGGAAGCAAAGCAGGGAAAAUGUUUUCUCUGUUGAAUUUAGGCCAGCUUCAUUUCUGAGAGUUUUACAAGGUAUUGUUUACACGGUAUAGUGGACUAAUGCUUCAGGAGCAGAAUAUGAUGGAUGUAUUUCUAGACCACCUCUGUUUGACAUAGCAGUGGACUGACUUGUUUUAAAGAAUCUGUUGUGUUCAGCAGGUGCUUGAUGAGGCACAUUGCUUGAUAAUGACUCUGGUUGCAGAUCCUUGGUUUUUGGAAAAGGUUAUAUACUGACAUUGACAAAGUAGUUAGCAAAAGUCCUUGAGUUUUUCAAAAAUCCUUGAUUUCUUGGCUGCAUUUCAGUUCAUGGUAUGAUACUGUGAUUGCCUCACAUUUCUCUCAUUUUGGCAACACUACUGACUGUGUACUGGUGGUGAUAAUUUUCAGUACUCUGUAUGACUUUGAGAAUGUUAACCAUAAGGUUAAAUUGACCCCAUUGUAGAUCAGAACAGGAACAGGUGUCAUUGUGCUUGAGGGGUAUGACAAAUAAGUGGAGGAGGGCAGUGUAUUGUGUGUUGGUUGUUGUGAUCAUAGGCUUUGCUUGCAGGGGAGGAGAUCACACAGGCAGCAUGGAUACCUGUCCUACCCAAGCUCCUGCUCAUUUUCUUCUGAAGGCUUGUGGAGGAUUUUUCAGGAGAUAAUGAGAAUGUUCACAUUCAGCAGUAGCUGUGAAGAGAGCACAGUGUUAAUGUUAUUGCCUUUCCACUGGUCAUGCCAAAGGUGUCCUUCUCCUGCAGUGCAGUGCAGGAGCACCCUGUCAGUGGAGCUAUGGCCCCAUGGGAUCAGGAUAACAGGUAAGGUUCAGGUCCAGGGAGGAGCAGAGGCAAAGUUGCUCUGCUUUGAUAUGCCUGGUGGAAGGUGGGAAUGCGUUGCACCAAACACUUUCUUGGGGGAUGCUCCACUAUUAGCCAAUGUGUUUUCCAUUGAGAACCACCUCCUUGGUGUGAUCUGCAUGUGUUUCAUAUACUCUGUGGGGGAUCCGUGUGAAGCCCUGUCAUGGAUGCACUUUGUGACACACAGUCAUUCCUUGCUAGUCAGAGGUGUGGCAGGAGUUUCUGAAUGCAUCUCAGUUCAUGGGCGUUCCCCAGCUGACUAUGCAGAGAAAGUGAAAUAGCAGUUGUAAUGCCAUUGAUCUGUGCUGUCUUCUCAUCACCUGGAGUCUUUCUGCGUGGGGUUCUGCUGAGGAGAGAUCUGCUGCUUGUUCCUCCCUUCAGUUUUCAAAACCAAUGCCUGUGGCCAGAAAUGACUUGCCAUGGACUUGUUGUGACCCGACAGCAGAAAAAGUGUGCAAUUCACCAAAGUGAUGGAGAUUGAACUGUGCCAUUGUCUGGUGUGUCCCUUGUGCCACCUCCCAGAUGCCUAUUGUCUCCUCUGCCUGCCUUCCCAGCAGUAAUGAAAACACAGGGACAUGGUCCCACUUUGGAGCUAUUAGCUGUUGUAUCACUUGGUUUCUUACACCUAUGGAGAAUUUCCACCAGCUGCAAAAGGUGAAGCAGAAUUUGCAUUUCAAUAUUGUAUUCUGCAUAUUGAAAGCGUUUUUCAUCUUGCUUUUUGAAGACAGUGGUGCCCGUUUUGUCUGCAGAAUGGUACUCACAGUAAGGUACA